UACGUAGGGCGCAAGCGUUGUCCGGAAUUAUUGGGCGUAAAGAGCUCGUAGGCGGUUUGUCGCGUCUGCUGUGAAAACCUAAGGCUCAACCUUGGGCUUGCAGUGGGUACGGGCAGACUAGAGUGCGGUAGGGGUGACUGGAAUUCCUGGUGUAGCGGUGGAAUGCGCAGAUAUCAGGAGGGAACACCGAUGGCGAAGGCCAGGUCACUGGG
rnacentral:rRNA from 1 species